rnacentral:lncRNA from 1 species
GUCAUUAAUCAUGUUGACAGUGUGAUGUAAUAGUCGGAACGAGGUGAUGAAUAGGGCAUGUUACCUCUGUGGUCCUCCUCCCCCAGACCCAUAACCCCAGUCCAAUCAUGAGAAAAACAUCAGACAAAUCCCAGCUGAGGGACAUUCUGCAAAAUCCCUGAUCGGCACUCCUCAAAACAGUCAAGGGUAUCAAAAACAAAGUCUGAAAAACUGUCACAGCCAGGAGGAUCCUAAGGAGACAUGACAACUAGAUAUAAGGAGGCAAGUAGAGGUUAAAAACUUCUCAAGGUCACACAGCUUGCACCCAGCAGACCCAGGAUCUAACCCCAGUUCAUCUGAUUGCAGAGUUUGUGCCCGGAACUUGGCACUGGACGUUUUCCUGACCAUGGCUCUUUUAUCAUGUUUAUUUUUCUUUGUUGGGUUUGACCUAUUUAUCGUGUGCCUCUCCUUCAAGACUUGGAACUUCUUAAAGACAAGCCAAGGAGUGACAGCAGGACAAGAGCUGCUAUCGUAAGACACCGGUGGACAUACUCGCAUCAGUGCAGUGGGGCCAAAGCUGGUCUGUAGGAAGCGAGAGAGGAGAGGCCCCCAGCUCUCUACAAGGACCCGAGACUCCGUGCUCUGGUUUCCCUUCUCCCUCUCCGUCUUCGACCUGGGAGUGGUGUUGAAGAUGGCUUGGAAGAAGUGGAGCUUGAAGUCGCUUCAGACUGCUGGAAGUGGUGUUGAAGAUGGCUUGGAAGAAGUGGAGCUUGAAGGAAGAGAGGCUGUUAGGCCAUUGCACUAGUCUAGGCAUGAGGGGAGCAUCUGACAAUUUCAACAAAUGUUUCCUAAGCACCUACUACAUGUCAGAAGCUCUGUUGGGAGCAAAGCAACAACGCUGUAGGCGAGAUGGUCUCUGCCCUUGAGUUGCUCAUGUCUAGUGGCAAUAGAAGAACCAGC